AGUAAACACGUCUUGAGCACUGCUUCUCUUGUCUUCUGAGGCCGCAGGAUGGAUGGAUGGAAGGAAGGACAGAGUCAGCCACACAGUAAAAAGAUAUAGACUAGAACAUUCGGACGGCGUGGGAGGUUCGGCCAGAUUUGCAUACCACUCCACCAGCACGGAGAGCACGUGUAUUGCAACACCGUAGAGCGUCUGGGGCUGAGCUGACUGUGGACGGAAAACAGAUUCUUUCUCCCACGCCAACUUUCGCCACCGCACCUGAACUUUUCCCUGACCCAAACCGAGGCGCAGAGAGUCGAGUAUGAAGUUAUUUUGGUUCAAAAACAAGGAGAGGAUGGAGACUAUAUAACCAAUAAGAGCUAUACCUUCCUUUUCAGCUGGGAACGUUUUGGGUCCUUGUUUUUAACGGGCUCUUGUUGGUUUCAGCAGUUGAUUAACCUAUGUCUUGGUUUGUAUGUAUACAUAUAUUAAAGUUAGUAACAUAAAGCUUGUAACCUAAAUCCAACUUCCAACAUUUACCGGCCUUGAGCUGUAGACUUGAGCCGUAGACAGUCCUCUCCACACCGCUCCGUCACUGGAUGUUCGCCAGACUGCGGUGCAUCUCCACAAUGUUGACAUUUGAAGCUCUUAACAGCGAGCCUUGGGUUACCGAUACACUCAGCAGAAGAUAACUCUUUCUCAGGGGUUUACAUCGGCCAACAUCAAGGCUAAUGCGAAAUUCAACGCCCUAAACUGGUUUGGCGUGCAUGCUAAAACAGAGAACCCUCGGUUGAUCUCGCUAUACUCUCCAUAACGGACGGACUGUUGUGGUGGUGGUUUGUUUCAGUAUGUGCUGUAGAAAUAAAAUUGUAGUGGUAAUAA